UAGCAGCUGCUUGGUGAGAUUUCAGAGACCCAGAUUCACCCCAUCACUAUCAGCGACCAUGCACCAGUUUCCUUCACUUUGAGGAACAAAAGAAUCACACCAUCGGCUAAAAGCUGGAGAUUUAAUACAGCGUUGCUUAAA